UACGUAGGGGGCAAGCGUUAUCCGGAUUUACUGGGUGUAAAGGGGGCGCAGACGGCGAUGCAAGCCAGGAGUGAAAGCCCGGGGCCCAACCCCGGGACUGCUCUGGAAACUGUACGGCUAGAGUACGGGAGGGGCAGGCGGAAUUCCUAGUGUAGCGGUGAAAUGCGUAGAUAUUAGGAGGAACACCGGCGGCGAAGGCGGCCUGCUGGACCGAAACUGACGUUGAGGCUCGAAAGCGUGGGGAGCAAAUAGG
rnacentral:rRNA from 1 species